GAUGAACGCUGGCGGCGUGCCUAAUACAUGCAAGUCGAGCGAACGGACGAGAAGCUUGCUUCUCUGAUGUUAGCGGCGGACGGGUGAGUAACACGUGGAUAACCUACCUAUAAGACUGGGAUAACUUCGGGAAACCGUAGCUAAUACCGGAUAAUAUUUUGAACCGCAUGGUUCAAAAGUGAAAGACGGUCUUGCUGUCACUUAUAGAUGGAUCCGCGCUGCAUUAGCUAGUUGGUAAGGUAACGGCUUACCAAGGCAACGAUGCAUAGCCGACCUGAGAGGGGGACCGGCCACACGGGAACGGAGACACGGUCCAGACUCCUACGGGAGGCAGAAGUAGGGAAUCUUCCGCAAGGGGCGAAAGCCUGACGGGGCAACGCCGCUGGAUUGAUGAAGGUCUUCGGAUGGAAAAACUUUUUAAUUAGGGAGGAAAAUAGGUGUAAGUAACUGUGCACAUCUUGCGGUUACCUAAUCAGAAGGCCAGGGCUAACUACGUG
rnacentral:rRNA from 1 species